rnacentral:lncRNA from 1 species
UUCUUACUUACUCUGAAACUCUUUCUUUAUUCCAGUAUACUCUCUGUUUUGAUCUGUUCUACUGCUCAUUGCUCUCUGUUUUGAUCUGUUCUACUACUCAUUGCUCAAGCUCGUCUCUCAUUUUCUCCUUUCCCGAGCGCCUAGCAUAGAUAACAUCACCCUACAAGGUACCAACAUUAUUGGUUUGAUUAUUUUGUUUCCUUUGUUUAAACUACAUAGUUAUUACGGAUGGGAGUUAAAAUAUUGAUUUUGUCGUUUGUAAUGGUUUGCAUAUGUUGAGUUGAGGGAUGACAAAGAAGUUUAUAGAAUAAAACUCUAAGAUCUGUUCUUUUUAUUAUUUGCUUUUUAGUUAAUCUCUUGUUGGUCCUUUAUUUGGUAGAUGACUCAUAAAAUUGUUUCUUAAAAAGUAAAGAACUUGGACUUAAUUUGAUUUGUUGCGUUGAUCAUUCAUUUUAAUCAUGUUCUGUUUCUUCCUAAGAAAAAAUAUGUAUGUUACAUUGAAGUGAUUGUUAGAAUUUAAAUAGAAAAAGAUCAACAUUCCUUGUUUUUUUUUACUUAGACAAAAUAAGAAUUUGCGUAAUACAACUCUGAAAUGUUCCCUUACUUUAUUUAUUUAUUUCGGCAUAUGUACUUUAUUUUUUGGAUUAAUUUGUAAGAAGUUACUGAUUCGGAAAGGAAUUUUAAUGGAUUAUUUGAUCUCUUUUUGCAGAUGUUGUUUAUGAAGAACACAAAACCCAAAUGGAGGAAAGGUCUACAUGUGAAAGUGUUUACGGAAGGAAAGGUCUACAUGUGAAAGUGUUUACGGAAGGAAAGGUCUACAUGGGAAGGUGUUUGAGGACGGAGAGUAAUGAUGGCGGGACAGAGAAGUCGAUAUGAACCUUGAGGGAAUGUGCCGUACUUUGAUUUUGAGUAUUAAGAUGUGUGAACGAAUGCUUGUAAGAGUAAUUAUAUGAUGUNNN